rnacentral:rRNA from 1 species
GCCUUUCGGGUGCGAUUCUGUGGAGUGUGAGGAGCUUAACACCUUCAUGCUUUGCAUAUUUGUGCUCUUGGGUGUACUUGCUCGUGUGGUUGGUUAACAUCAAUUUUGAUUAUCAUAAAAUGAUUGGAGGAAUGUAGCUUCGAUCUCGUAUUGAAGUGUUAUAGCCUUCGGUAGAUGUGAUGAUCGAGAUUGAGGAUUGCAACGGAUACCCUUCGGGGCUACCUGUCUGGUCUCUGAUCGUUGCUCUGGUGCCGAAAGCGUGCUUACGGUUAUCAAAGUCGAUGGUCAAUAGGUUAGAACGGGUUAAA